rnacentral:rRNA from 1 species
GUGAGGAAUAUUGGACAAUGGGCGCAAGCCUGAUCCAGCCAUGCCGCGUGCAGGAAGACGCAUCUAUGGUGUGUAAACUGCUUUUGUACGGGAAGAAACACUCCCUCGUGAGGGAGCUUGACGGUACCGUAAGAAUAAGGAUCGGCUAACUCCGUGCCAGCAGCCGCGGUAAUACGGAGGAUCCAAGCGUUAUCCGGAAUCAUUGGGUUUAAAGGGUCCGUAGGCGGUUUAAUAAGUCAGUGGUGAAAGCCCAUCGCUCAACGAUGGAACGGCCAUUGAUAUUGUUAGACUUGAAUUACAAGGAAGUAACUAGAAUAUGUAGUGUAGCGGUGAAAUGCUUAGAUAUUACAUGGAAUACCAAUUGCGAAGGCAGGUUACUACUUGUGGAUUGACGCUGAUGGACGAAAGCGUGGGGAGCGAACAGGAUUAGAAACCCCUGUAGUCC